rnacentral:lncRNA from 1 species
GAGGCGGGGCCGGCGCGCUGAAAGGAGGCGGCGCUGCGGGGAGGCGGCGAUGGCUUUUUCCUGAUGUACUAUGCUUUGUAUUUUGAUGCUCACACUAGCUAGGUCUGUAGAAGUUGUUCCAUGAGUUGUUAUGCAAGUGGAAACACAGAAUCUUUUAGAGCUCAAUUUCUUGUGGAGGAAGUGGAAGAAGGAUUAACUAAUAUUUGGUCUUGGCACAGUAAAUAUAUUUGAACCUAGACAAUUUAACUGGUUGAACUGAGACAGUCAAACUGAUUAGCACAUCUAGGUAUAAUGAGAUUAUUUAACUAGUUGAACUGAGACAGAUUAGCACCACUAAUCCACCAUGUGAUUUUGUUUGUAGUUUAGAAACAUAUACAGAAAUGACUCCCAUUCCAGUAGCUCAGCAAGCAUCAAAUUCUUCCUAAAACUUCCAUUGCUUAAACGAUAAUCAGUGUACAUUCUAACAAGAAUUAACAUGCUACCAAAAGGAACACACGCAUACCAGUUUAGUAGCAACAAUUAGAAUUAGCCAAGUUCAUUUGAGGUACCAGACGCACAAGUGCAGUGGCAGCUCGACGCACAUACCUGCUCCACUGUUUCAUGCCUCCAUCUCACUACUCCCUAGUACACUGGCUGCCGACUUGAUGUACCCUGCACACACACAGCCGCCAAUUAGCAUGCACACACACAACCUGCCACACACCCAGGACUGCAUCUUCUCCACAAUUUGGACCGGCGAUGUAGCAACACAGAAAAAAAUAUGUAGGAGUCGUCACUGUCGCCUCCUUGCCGCCCGAGUGAUGUAGCAACAUAGAAAAAAUCUGGCGGUGGCCAACGCCAGGGGAAGAUGGGGCGGCCGGCGGCUGGCGCCAUGUGUGGAUGGGGCGGGUGGCGGCCAGCGCUA